GCCGGGUGUUGUGGCGGGUGCCUGUAGUCCCAGCUACUUGGGAGGCAGAGGCAGGAGACUCGCUUGAGCCCAGGAGUUGGAGGUUGCUGUGAGCUGUGACACCACAGCAAUCUACCAAGGACAAUAAAGUGAGACUCUGUCUAAA
rnacentral:SRP_RNA from 1 species